GGGAAUGUGGCUUAGUGGUAGAGUACUUGCCUACCAUGCAUAAAGCCUGGGUUCAAUUCCUCAGUACCA
rnacentral:tRNA from 1 species